CCAGUAGCGUGAAGGAUGACGGCCCUAUGGGUCGUAAACUUCUUUUAUAAGGGAAUAAAGUCACCUACGUGUACGUUUUUGUAUGUACUUUAUGAAUAAGGAUCGGCUAACUCCGUGCCAGCGAGCCGCGGUAAUA
rnacentral:rRNA from 1 species